GGCUGUUGCGCCUGCGCGGUGAGAGCGGGGCCUGCCGCCGGUGGGAGCCCGCGGGGCGGCCCUGGGCCCCUCUCAGGCAGAGAGGGGAACUGUGUGGAGGUGUUCCCCCUGCCCCUGCUUGGCUUUGAGCUGGGUAGACUAUGGGGCUCGCUUCGGGUCUAGUAGUGUGUGGCCUGUAGGGGAGCCUUGCUGCUCGGCGCGGCCCCCUGUCCGGGUGUUGCUAGGCCAGGGGGAGGCGGCUGUGGUGGGGGUUGUGGUGUCAGGCUACCCCGUCUGUCUGCAGGCCUUUCAGAUGUGCCUGUUGGGGCUGGGAGUUGGUUCCCUGUUUCUUCCAGUCGAGCAGGUAAGCUGUGCUGCUGCCAAAAGCUGAGCAGAACUGGAGGAAGCUGAGGGAGCUGGCAGGGAGCGCAGGAGAGAGCUAGAAGCCUGCUGUGUUUUGCUGUCAGGAUCUUCUGAGCAUGUCUCUGCUCUGCCUGCUGGGAAGGACUGUCCUCAUCUCAGGAUGCAGAGCCCCUGUUCUUGAUGCGGUGCCUUGUUUGUAUGCCACAUCAUCUUUUGCCUUGUUUCCCUCCUUGCCCACCUGAGAAGGUUGAACAGGUGGAGCCAGCUUUAGGGGGACUCGGACAUCACUUUCUGUAUGGAGGGGGUUGAUGUCAGUCAGCCUCUGCCUGUCUCUCAAACUUCCCUUGUGCAACAGGCACUGUAGCCUUUAGCUGGCAUUUGGGGAUAGCAAAUCUAAUCCGGGUUCCCUUGAGGGAAAUUGGGUGCUGUGCCAAUCCCGGUAUGUGAUCCUCUUAAUAGGUGCCUCUUCCCAUCCCCAUUCCCUCCUCAUUUGACAGCAUUUGCAUGGACAGCUAACUUUAGACUGACCUUUUUAUGUACUACUCUGCUGUCCAUAGAGGAAGGAGCUGCUUAACCCCUGUCAGUAAGCCUGUCUCUGGGGCUAGUUUGCUCUGUGGAGUGUUGCAAGGAAGCUGACUUUUAAUCAAGCAAACAUUUGUUAUAAACUGAUAAAUGUUUUUAAUGUGUACAGCUUGGUACUGGUUUUUGACAGACAGUUGGCAGUGUCAUGAAGCCCCAUGAUAGCUUGUCCUGUGGGUUGAUGGGUGCGCCUCCACCGCUGACAUUACAGGAACAUUGAGACAGAAGUUCAUUUGUCUGAAGUCAGUAGUGAAAUUACCUAUGUGGUUUGGACACCAGCAUGGUGGGGCUAUAACCACAAAUCAGAUAUUCCUAGGUUCUUUUCAUAAUUCUGUUUUUAUUCUUACUGUGUGAUAGAGAUCCUUGUGGUCUAUUACUACUUUCAUGGUCCAUUGGGAAGUCUGGCCUUUGUUUACACAAGACUGUUGGGUGUUUUGAUCGCUCCUUUUCCUAGAACAGUAUCUCCUUGCCUAAGGCAGAGAGCUCUUUGGAUGGGUCUGUGGCCCCAGGUCCUGCUCUCUCAGGUGAGCUCUGUUCAAGUGGGCAUCAUGUUAAUCAAAGUGCUUUGGGAGCUGCUUUGUUCCAGUUUGGUAAAUAGAUAGCUUUUAAUGGACCAAGAGUUUUCAUUUUUGUGAAGAUGGUAGCCAACAAGCUUUGCUACCAGCUGUGAGGAUCCCCAGUCUGACGCUCUGUAAUCACACCCUUUGAUGGUGUCUGUAGUGGUAACUUGCCACAUUCUGUUAUCUUUGUCUCUUAUGUGUGUCAUGGUUCAAAACAAAGUCUUCAUCCUGACUUUCAUGGUACAGCAGGACCCCACUAGGUGCCAGCUUCAAGGAUGGGAAGGAGGGAAGGACUGGCGGAUACCCCCUCAGAGUGAAACAUGCUGUAGCUGAGCAGCAAGGACAGACCUGCCGGUGACCUACAAGAACCUCCAGUCUCGUCUGAGCAGGACAGUGCCUCUGCUCUGCUCCCUUCCUGCCCUCUGCUGCUGCACUCUGGAGAAGCCAAAUCACAGAAGGACCACAGGAGGACACCUGGUGUGUGCUUAUACAGCUGGAAGGGGAAAGAAGUCCUGGCCUUGCCCUGCUACUGGAUGAAAGGUUUACCCCAAAUCAGCUGCAACCGGGCAGGGUGAGAACUGAAGCUUUAGGAGCACUCAGUGCAUUUGGAUGGGUGGUCCUGUACCGCCAGGGAACUGUCCUGGAGACUCCCCCUACCUACACGCAAAAAUGAGAGAAAAUGCACAAUAUACUCCGUUGCUCAAGUCCCCUGCUCCAAGUGACAGAUUUCUAGGCUGCUUUUAGUGCCUUCUGCCGGAGGAGGGCGCUGUCAGAUCAGCAUUGAACUGCUCAGCAAGCGAAGAUGCCCACCUGGGAACUGGUUAAACUGAGUGGCCCACUGACUUGCAGGAGGUGGACACUAACCUGAAAAGCACUUACAUCUUUUGCUUUAACUGCACGUACGGGGUGUUUUGUGUCCCUGUACGAUGAAAACCACACUAACUUGUCUGCUGGGACAGUGGGAGCAGCAGGCCUGAGAAGCUGCUCAGAGGUGGCACAUUUGGCAGUGGAGUCUUGCACUUCUUGUUGUUGGGGCAGUGGCCCCCUCCCUUGCACCCAGAGCCCCUGGAAAACUGCAGCCUGUGCAACACCUUCCUGCUAAAGGCUAGAGAGAGAGCACCCUCCUCUGCAUCUGAGUGAUGCAAGCAGCCCUUUUAUCCAGGAUACCUGCCGGGCAGUAGAAGCAGGCAACCAAAAAGCUAGGUUAAACUGGUCUGAGGUUGACUCAAGCCAACGUGGACUGGUCUGAAGUGGAAUAACAACCUCAUCCCUUCUGCUGUUUCUACUGGUACAACUCGUCAGUAGCCUUCCUGCCUCAGCCAGUAGCAGUGUGACAAAGUAUGGCUUAAUUACAACCCUGAAAUAAAGGGAAUUUCUUUAUUAGA